rnacentral:rRNA from 1 species
CAGUCGCCGCGGGAAUACGUAGGGUGCGAGCGUUAAUCGGAAUUACUGGGCGUAAAGCGUGCGCAGGCGGUUCGUUAAGACAGAUGUGAAAUCCCCGGGCUUAACCUGGGAACUGCAUUUGUGACUGGCGAGCUAGAGUAUGGCAGAGGGGGGUAGAAUUCCACGUGUAGCAGUGAAAUGCGUAGAGAUGUGGAGGAAUACCGAUGGCGAAGGCAGCCCCCUGGGCCAAUACUGACGCUCUUGCACGAAAGCGUGGGGAGCAAACAGGAUUAGAUACCCCCGUAGUCCCUGUCUCUUAUAC